rnacentral:lncRNA from 1 species
UUCCGACUCUGAGCAGCUUUUUCCAGUCUGGCUACAGAGAUUGUUUUCCUGUGGCCAUCGUUUGUCCAAUAAAGAUUAUUUCCAAUCCAGUCCACUGCUAUACCUUCUACAUUAUCGAGAUCAUCUUUGAGGAUUGUUUCUCUCUCUGUGCCAUCAAUUUUCUGCCGUCCAAUUAGGAAACUGGUAGUAUCAGCAAAGUAAAUGUAAUUGGUUUCUGCAUGGAAGUCCAGAGCACGAGGAUUGACUAAGUUCUCUAUAGGGAUCAUGUAUUCAUCAGAUACUUUGGUAUUCAGGUCCAUUCCCCGUAUUAUUCCUGGACGUCCCUUCCCGUAAAAAAGAAACAAUUCAUUCUUCGGUCUUUUGCAUGACCUGCCAUCACUUCCCAAGAUGAAGCCAGUCCUGCAGCGACAAGUCCGUGUUUUGUAGUUGCUGCUGAGUAGACAGAUGUGUGAACAUCCCCCUGGCAUUCCAUAUGGGUCCACCUCACACGCAUGGCUUCUGACUGAUGUUUGAGUUCUUUUCUGGUAUACACGGAUCUCCUUCGCAUUUUCAAGUCUGGUAAGGGACCGAACAUCAGUGCCAUUAUAUCUGUUUAUUUGCCAAAUACUGAAGUUAUCUGAAUUAACUGCAUAUAAGUAGUUUUCAAAUACUGCCAAACCACAGAGAUGCCUAACUUGUCUGCCUUUUAUAACUGUAUGUCUCUUUCUCCCUUCGUAGUCAACAACUUCCACAUUAUCCAGAUAGAUGUCAACCCAGUACACAUAUUUAUUGAUGAGGUCAAGUGCAAGAGCAGUUGGCUGUUCAAUUUUAGAGUCCACUAUCCAUGUUCUGUUCAUUCCAUCCAUGUCACAUCUCUCAACCUUGGCAACAUUCCCGUAGUCUGUAAAGAAAAGCUUUCCUGAGGUUGGAUCAACAGCUAUGGCCUUAGGGUUACUGAGGUCCAGCUCAAUGAGUGUAAUGCACACCGUUCCGUUCUGGUUGCAAACGAAGAUCCUAUCACUGACAUGAUCCAGAAAGUAAAAGUUUCCAGUGAUCCAAUCAAUUGCUAUUUGCUGCACAUUGUGAAGAUACUGCACAACGUUUAUUAUCCACUCGUCUGUUAACUUUCCGGCUUUUGUUAUCUUCGUACAUUUCAGCUGACUUGCAAGAUCCCUUG